AUCACUUCUUGGUCUUUUGGCUAAGAGCAACUGCAGUAUCUGUUCUUGUCAGUUUAAUAUGUGAUAUAUCCCUUUUCUGAGACAACAUAUUAAAUGGACUUUUGGAACUAAGAGAUGGACUAGAAAGUUGCCCCACCUGCUCCAUGCCUCCACACAUUGACUUGAUAUUGCAGUACUUCCAAAAAAAAAAAAAAAAGA
ensembl:snRNA U2 U2 spliceosomal RNA